AAUCUGGGGAAAUAUUUUGUUUCAUUUUAAUAGGAUGUAUUUAUAUGGUUUGGUGGCCAUCACGGUAUAAAGAGGGGCUUCCCAGUUGAUGCCUACCACUACUGUGCUGACUCACCCCACAUCACAAAGAAAAGUUACGAGGCAGAUAUUGUUACAUGAAUGUGUCUUGUAGCAGCUGGCCCCAGCAUUACCUGUGCAACGGAGGAGUAACACAGUUUCAAAUUUAUGAAACUAGAACGUGGUCUGUGGGAAAUUUUCCAAUUGUCAAACGUGUAAAAUUGUGAGCGGAGGAUGUGCUUCCCUUUGAGGUCUCCUCGAAAUGAACAUUCCCUCCCAUCAGCAAUAUACUUGACAAGGGCUGUGUUAAGAGGACCAACACCAACAAUAACAUGGAUCAACACAGUGAGUGAUAAGUACUGAAUUAGGUCCAUGUGGUGAAUCUUCAUAUGAAGAUUGUGAUGGGGACCAUGAUGGGGAGAGUGUGAGUUGGAAAGGCUGUCCAAACCUGGGUUCAUAUCUUUCUUCUUCACUUGCCUGUUGGGAAAACCUGGACUUCAAGUCCAUUGUGUAUAAGAUUGCAUGAACAGUAUAAAACAUCAAAGGUUGUGAUGAGGCUUAGGUAACUCUGAGGCAGAGACUGUAUCCUUAGCACACAGCACAGGGCCUAACAUGCGGUAGGUGCCCGAUAAAUAUGUAAGCUCGCUGAAGUCCUGAUAACACAGAAGUCCCCAGUAAACGCUAAACCUUAAGAUAUUUUCCCUGAUCUCCUGGAACUAAUAACCUGGAUAUGACAAUAAGAUAUAAGAAUAAAAUCAUAAGUUCUUUAUGCAGAUAUUUUCACAGGGAAGGCUUUCCAUAUAGAAAGAGUACAUUCUAGGAGAGUGCAGAGGACUCUUGAUAGAAGUGAGACAAGAAUAAUCAACAUGACUUGGUUUAUCAAAAAGUGGGGAUGUCCAGAAUAGCCAUAUCCAUAGGGAAUAGACUAUGAAGUAAUUGUUGCCAGAGACGGGGGAAGGGGGAACGAAAAGCAACUGCUAAUGGGUAUGGGAUUUCUUUGGGGAGUAAAGAAAAUAUUAUACACUUAAAUAGUGGUGAUAGUGGUACUACUUAGUAAAUAUACAUAAAAUCACUAAGUUGUGCAUUUCAAAGGGGUGAAUUUUAUAUGUGAAUCACAUCUAAA